rnacentral:misc_RNA from 1 species
UUGUACGUUGGAGUGCAAAUACAUCCUCUUUGUUCAACGUGCAAGCAAUAUCAACUCAGGUGUUGCGUACUUUACCCAGUCUCAGGAGAGCACUUCACCCAGGAGAGACAGUUAUAAUUUCCAUUUUCUCGAUGCAGAACAGACCACACCAAUCUGUGGUUUCUUCAACUUUGCUCAACCCAAAUUCAUGGAUGCCUGCGUCAUCCCAACCAUUUCCCAGUAGUCUUGUGAGAACUUUACUGAGAAAGAAGCCAUUUGUUAGUUUCUUAUCUUACGUUAUUACCUUAAAUAAGUGCUACAGUUCAAGCCAAAGCAAUAAAAGGAGUUAUAUAUCAAAUAUUCUACAAACUAGAGCUGAUGUCAUGCUGUUAAUUUCCCCCAUCUGACAGACUACUCAUGUCAAUUAGUUUGAGCUUCAUCCCUUUGAACAAUCA